CGAAAACUCAAGAAGACAUCAUAGUCCCAUCGGUGGGCAGAAGAAGAAGAAGAGGCUCCUUCGUCGGUCAAGAAAACCAUUGAUAUGAUCUGUUGAUUGAAGAUUGAGAAGAUGAAAAAAGAAGAGUAGAAGGUAAGAAAGAUCAAAGAUGUGACGAAAUUAACAGGAAUGAUAAGAGAUGAAUGAAAGCUUGCAAUUCGAGUGGAGGUUCACGGAUGAGUUGAGGGCACUAAAUUUGAAAGGUUUUGAGUACGCACAUUUGAUUGGGAAAUUUACGAUAGAAUGAUGAUUUACA